ACGGGAGGCAGCAGUGGGGAAUAUUGCACAAUGGGCGGAAGCCUGAUGCAGCGACGCCGCGUGAGGGAUGACGGCCUUCGGGUUGUAAACCUCUUUCAGUAGGGAAGAAGCGUAAGUGACGGUACCUGCAGAAGAAGCGCCGGCUAACUACGUGCCAGCAGCCGCGGUAAUACGUAGGGCGCAAGCGUUAUCCGGAAUUAUUGGGCGUAAAGAGCUCGUAGGCGGUUUGUCGCGUCUGCUGUGAAAGACCGGGGCUCAACUCCGGUUCUGCAGUGGGUACGGGCAGACUAGAGUGAUGUAGGGGAGACUGGAAUUCCUGGUGUAGCGGUGAAAUGCGCAGAUAUCAGGAGGAACACCGAUGGCGAAGGCAGGUCUCUGGGCAUUAACUGACGCUGAGGAGCGAAAGCAUGGGGAGCGAACAGGAUUAGAUACCCUGGUAGUCCAUGCCGUAAACGUUGGGCACUAGGUGUGGGGGACAUUCCACGUUUUCCGCGCCGUAGCUAACGCAUUAAGUGCCCCGCCUGGGGAGUACGGCCGCAAGGCUAAAACUCAAAGGAAUUGACGGGGGCCCGCACAAGCGGCGGAGCAUGCGGAUUAAUUCGAUGCAACGCGAAGAACCUUACCAAGGCUUGACAUGAACCGGUAACGCCUGGAAACAGGUGCCCCGCUUGCGGUCGGUUUACAGGUGGU
rnacentral:rRNA from 1 species